rnacentral:rRNA from 1 species
GUAGGUGGCAAGCGUUGUCCGGAAUUAUUGGGCGUAAAGCGCGCGCAGGCGGUUCUUUAAGUCUGAUGUGAAAGCCCACGGCUCAACCGUGGAGGGUCAUUGGAAACUGGAGAACUUGAGUACAGAAGAGGAAAGCGGAAUUCCACGUGUAGCGGUGAAAUGCGUAGAGAUGUGGAGGAACACCAGUGGCGAAGGCGGCUUUCUGGUCUGUAACUGACGCUGAGGCGCGAAAGCGUGGGGAGCAAACAGGAUUAGAUACCUGGUAGUCCACGCCGUAAACGAUGAGUGCUAAGUGUUAGGGGGGUUUCCGCCCCCCUUAGUGCUGCAGCUAACGCAUUAAGCACUCCGCCUGGGAGUACGGCCGCAAGGCUG